rnacentral:rRNA from 1 species
GGGGCGAGCGUUGUCCGGAAUUAUUGGGCGUAAAGGGCGCGUAGGCGGUUUGAGUAAGUCAGAUGUGAAAGGCCACGGCUUAACCGUGGAGCUGCAUCUGAAACUGCCGGACUUGAGUGCAGGAGAGGGGAGCGGAAUUCCCGGUGUAGCGGUGGAAUGCGUAGAGAUCGGGAGGAACACCAGUGGCGAAGGCGGCUCUCUGGCCUGUAACUGAC